UGGGGAAUUUUGGACAAUGGGGGAAACCCUGAUCCAGCCAUCCCGCGUGUGCGAUGAAGGCCUUCGGGUUGUAAAGCACUUUUGGCAGGAAAGAAACGUCAUGGGUUAAUACCCCGUGAAACUGACGGUACCUGCAGAAUAAGCACCGGCUAACUACGUGCCAGCAGCCGCGGUAAUACGUAGGGUGCAAGCGUUAAUCGGAAUUACUGGGCGUAAAGCGUGUGCAGGCGGUUCGGAAAGAAAGAUGUGAAAUCCCAGAGCUCAACUUUGGAACUGCAUUUUUAACUACCGGGCUAGAGUGUGUCAGAGGGAGGUGGAAUUCCGCGUGUAGCAGUGAAAUGCGUAGAUAUGCGGAGGAACACCGAUGGCGAAGGCAGCCUCCUGGGAUAACACUGACGCUCAUGCACGAAAGCGUGGGGAGCAAACAGG
rnacentral:rRNA from 1 species